rnacentral:rRNA from 1 species
GAUGAACGCUGGCGGCGUGCCUAAUACAUGCAAGUCGAGCGACAAGACGAGGAGAUUGCUCCCCUGACGUUAGCGGCUGACGGGCGAGUAAGAAGUGGAUCACCAACCUCUUUGACUGGGAUAACUUCGGGAAACCGGUGAUAAUACCGGAUAAUAUAAUGAACGGCAUGGAUCAAUAGUGAUUGACGGUUUUGCUGUUACUAUUAGCUGGAUCCGCGCCGCAUUAGCUAGUUGGUAAGGUAACGGCCUACCAAGGCAACGAUGCGUAGCCGACCUGAGAGGGUGAGCGGCCACACUGGAACUGAGACACGGUCCAGACUCCUACGGGAGGCAGCAGUAGGGAAUAUUCCGCAAUGGGCGAAAGCUUGACGCAGCAACGCCGCGUGAGUGAUGAAGGUCUUCGGAUCGUAAAGCUCUGUUAUUAGGGAAGAACAAAUGUGUAUGUAACUAUGCACGUCUUGACGGUACCUAAUCAGAAAGCCACGGCUAACUUCGUG